AUACGGAGGGUGCGAGCGUUAAUCGGAAUUACUGGGCGUAAAGCGCGCGUAGGCGGUUUGGUCAGUCGGAUGUGAAAGCCCCGGGCUCAACCUGGGAAUGCCAUUCGAUACUGCCUAGCUAGAGUAUGGUAGAGGGAAGCGGAAUUCCGGGUGUAGCGGUGAAAUGCGUAGAUAUCCGGAGGAACACCAGUGGCGAAGGCGGCUUCCUGGAUCAAUACUGACACUGAGGCGCGAAAGCGUGGGGAGCAAACAGGAUUAGAAACCCCAGUAGUCC
rnacentral:rRNA from 1 species